CGGGCUGUAGUAUACCGGUAGUACGCGUCCAUGGGGUGGAUGUAGACCGGGUUCAAUUCCCGGCAGCCCGACUA
rnacentral:tRNA from 1 species